rnacentral:rRNA from 1 species
UACGGAGGGUGCAAGCGUUAUCCGGAUUUACUGGGUUUAAAGGGUGCGUAGGUGGGUUAGUAAGUCAGUGGUGAAAUCUUCGAGCUUAACUCGGAAACUGCCGUUGAUACUAUUAAUCUUGAAUAUUCUGGAGGUGAGCGGAAUAUGUCAUGUAGCGGUGAAAUGCUUAGAUAUGACAUAGAACACCGAUUGCGAAGGCAGCUCACUACGGAAUUAUUGACACUGAGGCACGAAAGCGUGGGGAUCAAACAGG